UACGUAGGGGGCAAGCGUUGUCCGGAUUUAUUGGGCGUAAAGCGCACGCAGGCGGUCUUUUAAGUUUUGAGUGACAGGCGAGGGCUUAACCCUGGCAGGCCUUGGAAAACUGGAAGACUUGAGGGCGAGAGAGGGAUGCGGAAUUCCAGGUGGAGCGGUGAAAUGCGUAGAGAUCUGGAAGAACACCGAAGGCGAAGGCGGGUCUCUGGGCCGAUACUGACGCUGAGGAGCGAAAGCGUGGGGAGCGAACAGG
rnacentral:rRNA from 1 species